UUUAGGAUCCUAUAAAAUAGAAUUAAUCUAUAGGUAGCUAAGCGAUAUGAAUCUAAUCGUUUUGUGAUUUUA
rnacentral:tRNA from 1 species